CGCCUGUUUAUCAAAAACAUCGCCUCUUGCAAACUCAAAAGAUAAGAGGUCCCGCCUGCCCUGUGACUAUUUGUUUAACGGCCGCGGUAUUUUGACCGUGCGAAGGUAGCGCAAUCACUUGUCUUUUAAAUGAAGACCCGUAUGAAUGGCAUAACGAGGGCUUAACUGUCUCCUCUUUCAGGUCAAUGAAAUUGAUCUUCCCGUGCAGAAGCGGGUAUACAAACAUAAGACGAGAAGACCCUAUGGAGCUUUAGACACCAAGGCGGCCCACAUUAAACACCCCCGAAUAAGGGACUAAACCAAGUGAACACCGCCCUAAUGUCUUUGGUUGGGGCGACCGCGGGGAAUUACAAAACCCCCACGUGGAAUGGGGGCACCCCUCCUACAGCUAAGAGCUACAGCUCUAGUAAACAGAAAUUCUGACCAAUAAGAUCCGGCAAUGCCGAUCAACGGACCGAGUUACCCUAGGGAUAACAGCGCAAUCCUCUUUUAGAGCCCAUAUCGACAAGAGGGUUUACGACCUCGAUGUUGGAUCAGGACAUCCUAAUGGUGCAGCCGCUAUUAAGGGUUCGUUUGUUCAACGAUUAAAGUCCUACGUGAUCUGAGUUCAGACCGG
rnacentral:rRNA from 1 species